UUGCCUGUAGCUCAGAGGAUAGAGCAGCAGCCUUCUAAGCUGUCAGUCGCUGGUUCGAAUUCAGCCAGGUGAGCCA
rnacentral:tRNA from 2 species